rnacentral:misc_RNA from 1 species
AAACCCUCAAGCCCUGCUUGGUGUUGGGUGCCUGUCCCGCCCCCGCGCGUGGACUCACCUCAAAUCCAUUGGCGGCCCCCGCGUCGGCCACGAGCGCAGCAGAAACGCGAACUCGUGAGCCCGCCCGGGCGGCUCCCAAGAAGCUACACACCAU